CUGUAACUCUGAAAUCUGUGCUCCCUGCAAACACCCCAUUUGACCCUGAUGUGGAGAUGCAGCUAUUGUUUCCAGUCUCAAAUCUGAAUCUGCCAGAAUUCAAAUCAGUAGUCCGUCAGGAGCACUUCCCUUUGCCUUGGAGCAAAUGAGUCAACUUUAGCAUCCCUGCCAGGCUGUAGUGGCUGCCCCGAGUCUACUGUGCCAUGCCACAACACCACAAUGCCAAUAUAAUCAUGCAGCAGCCCACAGUGCCAGUCCCCACUGACCACAAAGAGCCUGUCCAGGCACUGAUGUCACCAAGAGUAGUCAUUUUUAUUCAUGCUAAUCCUCUUAUAUACUGUAGCAGCCCAGCAGAUCACUGUAGGUCAUAAUAGACAGCCAUGACAGGCUUGUCUAAAACAUAUUCAAAACAAGGGGGUUUCCUAUUAGAACAAGUACACAAGGGAAAUGUUUGCAAACAUGUCUUCACAAUCAUUAGUUAUUAUGGAUUUUCAAUAAUUUAAGGACACAAUGGCAUUGAAAUAUAUCUGAACUGCACACAGUGGUGAAAGUUCAACAGAGUGUUCAGAACACACAUCAUGCCACAGGGUGCUGUUGUGAAUAACAGAAAUACUGUCUGCUCUUUUUAUGUGUUCUCAGGCUGUACUGCUCUCUGUUGGAGAAAAUGAGUCACUACAUUAAUCUAACAAAAAGAGCCACACACAUAAUCCAGCCAAGAGCCCACUUUUUGUCUGAAAGCUAAGUUGAUGCGUCUUAAACCACCAAGUCUUCUUGUGGUAUCUGGUAUAUGGCUCCUCACAGCAUUUGUGUGGUAAGAAAGAAACAGAAGCCAUCUCACUUUACAAUGACAGACAUGGAAAUAAAAAUUAAGACAAACAUUCUGAAUUCAUCCCACUGAACAUGUUUAUUCAUAAACUGGUAAAAUAUAGCACAUUUGUAUAAAAAUGUAGAAAAUUGUACACAAAAUAUAACACUUGGCUUUUGUCUAUUAUAGUUAAUGCUACUAUUAUAGCUUUCUUUUGCUAAAGGGGAUAUUCUUUUGCCAGCAAAAAAGACAGAAUGAAGAAUGACAGUUACAAAACACACACACACAAACAAAUGUAGAAGGCAACGUCCAAAAAGUUCAUUAAUAUAAAAGGAUAGCCGUACAAAACAUUUCAUACAUUCUUAAGGAAAAAAGCACUAUCAGUCAUAGUUCAUGCCCUUAUUGCUUUUAUUUGUGUUUUGUUAAAGUAGACUAUUUGUGCAUCUUUUUUCUCUAUUCUUUUAAGGUGUCUUUGGUAAGUUGUCCACUUUUUCCAAAAUGAAGAAAUGUUUAUUCCUAUUAAUGCUUUGUAGAUUAAAGUGGCACUACUACAUUAUUCUGCGAAGUCACAAAACGCUACAGCAAAACUCAACUGAGGCCUUUGUGAGUCUAAAUGUGCUCAAAUGAGUAUUUGAAUGAUUGAUAAAAACACUGUCAUGGUUCUUAUUUAAUGAUCAAAUGGGGAUCAUGUGAAUAGUCGCAGGAGACAUAGACCUUUUCGCACAGUGCUGUAAUCAGUGCAAAGCCACAGUGUAAAAUUAGUUCUCCUACCAAGAGCCGCAACUUUCCAUAUGAUAUAGCUCAAUAGUUACUAAAGAGUACCUCAGUGUAAAAAUAGCACAAUAUGCAUUUUACUACAGUGGCAGCAACUGUUAAAUUCCCACUUCUAGAUUCCCUGUUUUGAAUAAGUGAGAAGAAUUUUCAAAAUAACUCCUCUUUGGGAUUAGAGCUGCAGAAGCACUGUACUACUACUAUGUACCUCAUUUUCUCAAAUCAAAGCGAUUACUUCUACUGAUAUGGUAAUACACAAACCAGCUGACUUGGGUUUAGAUCAAACAGCUGUCAUUCUCAGUUGAGUCGUGUAAGAGUCAUAAGUCCUGGUUAAUGCCAUGCGAAGGCAUGAUGUCUGAAUAUUUCAAACAAGCUCUAAUGCAGAGGGGGGGUUGGACAUGUUAUUAUAUUUAAGCUUAACAUAUUAUCCCCUAUAUAUGUACCUUUGAAAGAGCAUGCCCUUUCUGUUUUGCAUUUUUAAACAUCACUUGGGAAAAAUGUACACAGCUGCUUUAAGAACACUUACAGUAAACAUGUGGAGUGCAAACUCUCUGUCUGGAAAGGCAAUUACAACAUAGAUGUAAGUUAAACACCAAAGAUUCAAACACCAAUAAGUCCUGAGUGUUUGUGUGUAGGCUAUAUUUGUUUCUGUGACUGCACUGGUGCAUGUGUUGGAAUACUGAUUUGCCAACAUAAAAAGUGUUUUGUUCUUGACAAGAAAGAAAUCCCUAGCAUUAAAGAUUAAUGUUUAGUAGCACCGAGACAUUAUUCCUCAGUCACUAAAAGCACGUCUUUAGUCUUCACUCAGCUUUUCAUACAACCAUCCCAUCAGAACAUUGGCCUUCAGAAUCCAAGCAGUCUAUAACAAGACAGGGGACGAUUUAUCCACUAUCUCAUUGUCAUAUACAGAAAAUAUAUAAAUGUAUAUAAAACGUAUUUACAUGUCUCCUUCUCAGCUCCACUGUUUCUACAGCCCUAUGUGACUGGAAUGCCUGUUUGGAAAAAGUUCAGUACCAGUUUCAUAUCAGGCAUAUCGCUCCAGGUCAAUACCAUGUACCAGGGCAGUGAAAGAACAAUACAGCAAAGGAGGUUAAUCAGGCACCUUUGGUUUUAAGGGUUUGGGUGGGGAUUCUUAAAAUCUGAGACCCGUUUUAUAGGUAAAUUAGUCUAAACUUGGAGAGGAAACCCAUAACACUAUGCCAUUAUUCCUUUUGGAAUUCCUCAUGGGUAUCCAGUGGCAAGAGACCCUUGGCCAAGUCAUAAAUCUAUGCAGGUUAAUGCAAUUGAUUUAUAUUUGAGGGUUACUGGGACAUACAUUGUUCUCAACAGCUUAACUGAGUCACCCUAACUUGGCUUUUUUUCAAAGUACCUGGUAAAUUUACCACAAGUGACAGGAUUUUAGUGUUUAAAACCUAAAGUUUGUUAUCCUGGACAGUGGGCUUCAUACAUUUCCAGGUGUGAUCUCAAUUUUAACCUUAAGAACUGGCCAUGGUCUGUACUUGAUUAUUAGUAUGAGAUAAGAUACCAAACGUUUUCGUCUAAGACAGCGUGUUCAGAUAUUUAUUCUCCCCAGCCAGUGAGGUAAGCAUAGAUGUCAUGUCCCCCACAGCCAUGUUGGACAGGCCGGAGCCUGCAGCUAGGCUGACAGAAGUCUGGGGGGUGGUGAGGCGAGAUGAUGCCUGGGAGGAAGACCCUGGCUGGCCCUGAAUGGGGUUGUUGAUUGGGCUGAAAGAGGAGGAAUCUGCAUCAUCAAUGAUGGAGGUGAAGUCUAUGCGAGCAUUGUCCAGGUCCAGGUUCUCUAAGACAUUGGACAUGGGGCCAGAUUCAGGAUAAGGAGGCAUGGGGACAGGUUUUGUGCCACCUGUUGGGUCUAAGUUUGUUGCCAUACUGUGCUGCUGAUUGUGACAAGGUCCAUUCUGGGGGUCCAUGUGUUUCUCUAGAUCCAUGUUUAUCUGACCUGAGUAGUACAUGUUGUUGUUAUUGCUUGGAGAGAACAUUUCAUUUUGUGGGUGAUGUGGAUGCUGAACCGGAGGAAGUCGGAUCCCUCGUCUUGGGCUAGUGGAGGACUGGACAGGACUGAGGUGGGGCGGGCUGCCAAGGUAGACGCUUCCAGCCUGUGAUAAGCUGUUCUGACGACUGAGAGGUUUCCGUCCCUGAGGAGGCCUUGGGACCACCAUUUCCUGGCCGUAACAUGAGCCUUGGAGACCCGUCAGCUGCUGCUCUUUAGGUGUCACAGAGCUGGGCCCUCUGGUGUGAGCUGGAGGGCUCAUGACCAGAUUCUGGUUGGGGUAGCUUUGAUAGGACUGGCUAGGGUAUAGAUUCUGGUUUUGGUGCUGUGGACUGUGCUGCAUCAUUGCAGACUGGGCACUCAUAUCCAUGUUAUCAGAUAAUGGAGGAGGUUUUAUUCCACUUGGCUGCUGCUGCUGCUGUUGCUGCUGUUCUUGUUGCUGCUCCCACAUGAGAGCUUGCUGGGACUGAACAUAGUUCCUCACCAUCAUCUCCUUUACCUGCAUCAUAGGCGUUUCUGACCUCUGUCCAUCUGAAAGCGCAGUGCCGGCACAGCCCAAGCUUAAGCCCCCUCCACCAACAAAUGAGUUUGGGUUCCCUGGAAAGUUACAGCUGGGAUUGUUAGAGUUCCUCAUCAUAACCUGGCCUGUUUGUUGUGGGUAACCCUGAGUUUGUUGAAGGAGCAUUCGCUGCUGUUGGAGCUUAGCAUUUUGACAGGCAUCCCCAACCCCCAUCCCUGGGUGGAACUGCUGCUCUGGCUUGAUGACGAGUUUGUGGGUUCCAUCAGGGCUGUUGUAGAUGCUUGUCUGAUUGUUGUAGUGGGGCUGUGUUUGUUGAGGCUGCAGGCUGGGAUCUGAAUACUGCAUUCCUCGUGGGUUCUGGAUAGAAUGGCUGGAAGUUUGAAUUUGGUUUUGGUUGUCACUCCAAGGACCUCCAGUAUCACCACCCUGGCCUAGACUAGGGUAAUGUGGGCCUGAUGGACUGAGCUGACAGGUACUCAUACUGUACUCAGCCUGUUGGAGAAGUGUAUUUGACAUGCCUUCUGAGUGAAUAGACCUUGCUUGGCCAAUGGUAUUUCCACCAGCUCUUGAAGUGGCUUCUGCUCCCUGGUUCUGGUAAUGAGCCUGCAUGUAAGCCUGGUCUGGACAGGUCAAAGAGUCAUGGCUUGGGGACAAUUGAUUUAAAUGAGGGCCGCCACCUCCAUCUCCUCCUAGAGUUUGAUGCUGUUGCUGGUAUCCCAUGAAAUUCCUCUCUCCGGGAGGCAUCAUCAUGGAACGAUCCCUGGCAUCAACUGAAGCUAUGUGUGGCUCCAUACCCAUAGCCUCCAUCAUUACGUUUUCCGUAAUGCUGGGUGGACGUGGCGAGUACAAGUGACGAGAAAGGCUGGUGUCGGAGCCACGGUGCUGGAGCGCAUUCCUUCGGCUCAUCAAGGCCACAUUGUUAAGGCUAUUGAAGCGCUUUGGGAGGGCUUGUGGAUCUGCUACUGAUCUGACAGGGUCACUGGCUCGCCUACUGUUGUUUCCCGGAGCUUGGUGAGGGUAGAUAACGCCAGUUCCAUACUCUGUGUUGGCACUGUGCCUUCUUGGACCAACUUGUUGAAGGAAAGGAGGAAGAGGCUGGCCCUGGUAUUCACUCAGAAUACCUCCUCUCCUGCCUUGUGUACCUGUCUGCUCCAUAUUGGGUAAAGGAGUUGGUGGUGGUCCACCGGUUGCUGCAGCAUAUUUGGCCUUUAGGCUGUAUUGCUGGGCAGGUGUUAAAUUUGGAAGACCAGGCAAUCCUCCUGCUCCACCAGGACAUGGGGCUCCUCUGCGAUUGGUCUCAGGAGAAAGGGGAUCUCCCGCACUCUGCUCUGGACUGAGUAGGUGACACCCUCCCCCUGCUGGUCCUCCCAUUUGUGAGACGUCACUGGAGCGCCGGCUGGACAGAUAUGGAGAAACCAUGGAGGAACGACGGCUUACAGUAUAUGCAGAGCUCAGGCUGCUGGUGCCACUUCCUCUCCGGUCAUUAGAAUUGCAGCCAAUUGAAGGCCCAACUCCUAGGUCGUGAUUGGACAGUUCCAUAACUCGUCUGUUUGAGAGGAGCGGAGAAGGUGCACACAUUCCAAUAUUCUCCCCUGGACCUGAAAAUUAACAUGUAGAGAGAGAACCACUUAGAUUACAUUGCAUCAAACUGAUUAAGUCUGUCUUACAACAUGCUUCAAUAUUUUAUCAGUUGAAAGUCGGAUAUGUUGUAAUAACCACUGUCUUUAUCCUGAGAACAUACUCAAUACUGUGCUCUGAAUUUUCUGUGGUUGUUUUGAUUUUGAGAACAUACCAGGAAGUGCAGGUAACUUGUUACUGGAACAACGGGAAGGAGGUGCUGGCCUACGGAUUUGCUUCAGCUUGUCAAUCUUUAGGUUCUCCAGCCUCUUCAAAGCCUGUGCAGACAUUCCCAUUGUUCCAACACUUCCUGGUUCCCCUCCUCCUCCACCUGAAACUCCAUCCUCCAGUGCAGUGAGAUCCUCUAGACUGCCUGCUGCAUUCAGGUUCAUCUCAACCCCACUGUCAUUGUUGUUGGCGCUCCCUAGUGGAGAACGUUCGCUACUGCAGGAUGACUGACCACCAGGGCUUGGCUGGGAUUUCUGCAAAAAGUAUAAUGAGAUGUUUGCUGUAAGUAACUAAAAACAGCAAUUAAAUACAAAAAUAAUUAUUUUCUGUGGUUUUUCAACAAUGGGCAAAAGUUAUUGAUGUGGUGCUGCUUAGAAUGGAGCUCUUUUCUAAAGAACCUAGCAGGCUCAUAUGCACUACUCACCAAAGUGGACUCAGGAGCCAACAGUUUGCAGUCUUCCCUGCGUGUCUCCGAUUUCUCCAGCAGCAGUUCGGAUUCCUGGCCUCCAGCGGCCAUAGCUGAACCUGGAGGUCGGGGUCCUGUGUCUCCACGGUGCUUCUUAGUGAUGUGGGCUUCAGGGCCAUGCACUGUCUUCACAUGUUUACGCAAGGAGCUUGGAUCUGUGUACCGUUUAGUGCAACCUGGGAUCUUGCAUACAUAAGGUUUCUAUAAAGGACAAGACAUUUUUGUAAACAUGACAGACCCAACUAAUUUCAAUGCAUUUUUUUCUGAUUUACAAUAUUUCCAGAAGUGUUAAUUUUUUCUUCAAUACAUCUUUAUCAACUUAUUCAAUAAAUUCAAAAUUGAAAAACAGAAA